CGUGCUAAUCUGCGAUAAGCGUCGGUAAGGUGAUAUGAACCGUUAUAACCGGCGAUUUCCGAAUGGGGAAACCCAGUGUGUUUCGACACACUAUCAUUAACUGAAUCCAUAGGUUAAUGAGGCGAACCGGGGGAACUGAAACAUCUAAGUACCCCGAGGAAAAGAAAUCAACCGAGAUUCCCCCAGUAGCGGCGAGCGAACGGGGAGCAGCCCAGAGCCUGAAUCAGUAUGUGUGUUAGUGGAAGCGUCUGGAAAGGCGCGCGAUACAGGGUGACAGCCCCGUACACAAAAAUGCACAUGCUGUGAGCUCGAUGAGUAGGGCGGGACACGUGGUAUCCUGUCUGAAUAUGGGGGGACCAUCCUCCAAGGCUAAAUACUCCUGACUGACCGAUAGUGAACCAGUACCGUGAGGGAAAGGCGAAAAGAACCCCGGCGAGGGGAGUGAAAAAGAACCUGAAACCGUGU
rnacentral:rRNA from 1 species